UGCAUUGAAAAAACAAUUUUAUUAGAUAACCUAUAACACAAAUAAAAUUCCAUUACAAAUAACUAUAAUACUAAGCAUAAGAAGUUCAAAUCUUUAUCAAACUAAGCUAAUACAAACUCAUGUAAGGUAACUUAAAAAAUUUAUUAAACAGAAUGUAACUUAAACAUUAUCAAAUCUAAAAUGGUUCUACAAUUUAUAAAUUUAUAAACAUAUAAAAAGCACUAUGUAUUUGCUUGGUGAUUUUCAUUGCUGCCAUCCGAUGAUCCUCUUAUUCCACAAGUGAAGUAAACAUCAUCCAGCUGAAAUAAUGAAAUAAAAAUAUUUGAUGAGAAACUUAUAAACCACUAGCAUUUCUCUAACAAAAUAGGACUAGUAAACUAUAAACUAAUAAUUAGUUAAAUGCAGCGUAUUAGUAAUGAGAAAAUUCUCAAUUCACACGAGUCAUCAAGGUGCUCUACUACGUCAACCUCAAACACUAAAGAAUGUUGGUUAUAAAAUUACAAAUAAUCUUUUUCUCUCUCCAAGUUUUACACAGAGAGUAGCAACAAGCAAAGACCUUUGAGGAAAGUAAAUACAAGAACAAGAUUUUUCAGUUCACUUAAACCAUCAAGGGAGCUAAGACAACCUCAGAUGCUAAAGCACAAUGCUUAUAGAACUGGAAAAGUAGAAAAAUGAAUCUCACAUAGCCAACGUAUCGUCCAUGAUAUUACCAACAUUAUAGACACAUGCCAAGAUACAAAUCAUGAUUCUAGUUCUAGGAGAGAUAAAGGGAAAGGAGUGCAACUUACAAAUAUUUCUCUUGCCCCCUCAGUCACAUAUGAUCCAAUCUUAUUUUUUAUGCAUAGCAAGACAAAUUUGUCCUCGUCCUGACUUUAUCCCUGUCUCAGCCAUCUAGGUAUGAAAAAACUUUUAAGUAUAAAUAACUUAAUUAAACAAGAAAGAAUAGUUACAUAUAAGUUUAAUUGUUAAAGUAAAAUAAAUAGGUACCAUCUCUAACCAUUUAUGCCCUUAUUCCAGAAUUAAGGAACCCACAAAAGAUCUUCCAAAAAACAGUUAGGAACUAACCACUCAAUAGAUCAUCUCCAAUAAAUUUUGCGCCUUCCUUCCUGAGAUGGAAAAAAGGAGGCUAUUUUGAGCUGAGAUAUUCAUAUCACCUUACUCGAAGGAAAUAGUAAUUAAGCAGCAUAAUACCUUAUUAAAAAUAUAAAUGCAACACCAAAGAAAUGUCUUUCUUUCUAUAGGACUUCAAGACAAGAAGUGAUGCCAUGUUUUUGCUAUUCUGCCUAACAAAUCAUUACAAGAUGUCAACCAAUCAGUUAUCAAUCAGAUGUUCGUUUUCUAUUUGAAAAACACUAUAGGCACAUCUAAUGAAAAAUAAUGCACAAGCUUGUCAUUUACGAAAGGGUGUGCAAGAAAAUAACAGAAACCUACUCCAACAUAACCAUCAAGUAGUUGAUAUUAUUCUUUUUUGCUUCUUAUAGUAAGUGCCACUUUCAUCGAAUAACAGAAACCUACUCCAACAUAACCAUCAUGAAGAAGAAUGCAAAACAGACAGAUGUCAUGGUCAUCGAAUUACUAUUAACAUAUUUAGUUUUCUAAAACUACAACAUAACAAUUUGAUGGUACUUCUAUCGAACUUCAACUACAAUUCUUAGAGAUAAUUGCCAAUUUAGCAGAGCUUCUGAAGCAACUGAUUGCUACAAAACAAUUUCAAAUGCUCCUCUGUUAAGUUAUUCACCCACACACACUAUACACCUAUAUACUGCAGAUGCCACCAAACACAUGCCAACUGCAGAUGCUACUGGACUUUUCUUACCAAACAUAGGUCUCUGUUUUGCUUUUAAAGAGACUAAAUUGGAAGCAACUAUUUUAAUGACUCAAACUAAUAAAGCAAACUACAAAACUAUAGUGGAAAAGAUUUCCAGUUUAGAUAAAUAUUAUAGCUCUGACUUUUCCAUGGAAAAUUUUCUUUUCCUCAAAUUCUUCAACCUAAAUACCCAUCACAAGUUCAACCACAAACCACCAAAAUACACUACUAAAGUUAGUGAAUAUUGAAAUUAAAAUUUGUCUCGAAAACUGAAAUAUUAUACUCAAAUACAACAUGGAAAACUCAGGUUCUUGAGAAUUCAGUGAUGACUUCGCAUGAAAUUGAGCCCUAAUUUUGCUUUGAGGGAGUGGUGACCCGAGGUACGACCUCCUAUUUUAAGAGCAUUAUCCAAAGCUAUAAGAGAAUCAAAACCCUAAACUAGAAACAAAUGAAAUUAGAGGGGAAGGAACUUACAACUUCCAUCCUUAAUUAAGCAACCCCCAUUCGAACUUCCCGACUCAAAACACUAAUCAACGAUCAUACCAGUGGAUGGUUUCAAGCUUAAUCAAGCAACCAUCACGAAAGAAAUUGAAAGCAGACUUUUUUUGGAUUUUAUCUGGCCGCACCUAUUGAGCAUUUAGGGUGGUUAUAUUAGGGUUGAUGGUAUUUGGGGAAAGUGAGUGAAAGUAAAAAACAAAAGACGGAAAUUUUGGAGGAAAAGGGAAUAAAAACGAGGGAAAUAUUGCCGCGCUUGUUUUCAUUUAAAAUUAAAAAGAAUUAAAUAUAUUUUAGGUCACAACCCAAAAAAUAAUUUGUUC
rnacentral:lncRNA from 1 species